rnacentral:rRNA from 1 species
GAGUUUGAUCUUGGCUCCAGAUUGAACGCUGGCGGCAUGCCUUACACAUGCAAGUCGAACGGCAGCACGGGAGCUUGCUCCUGGUGGCGAGUGGCAAACGGGUGAGUAAUGCAUCGGAACGUAUCCUGGAGUGGGGGAUAACGUAGCGAAAGUUACGCUAAUACCGCAUAUUCUGUGAGCAGGAAAGCGGGGGACCUUCGGGGCCUCGCGCUCUUGGAGCGGCCGAUGUCGGAUUAGCUAGUUGGUGAGGUAAAGGCUCACCAAGGCGACGAUCCGUAGCAGGUCUGAGAGGAUGAUCUGCCACACUGGAACUGAGACACGGUCCAGACUCCUACGGGA